rnacentral:rRNA from 1 species
UACGUAGGGUGCGAGCGUUGUCCGGAAUUAUUGGGCGUAAGGAGCUCGUAGGCGGUUUGUCGCGUCGGCCGUGAAAACUUGGGGCUUAACCCCGAGCCUGCGGUCGAUACGGGCAGACUUGAGUUCGGCAGGGGAGACUGGAAUUCCUGGUGUAGCGGUGAAAUGCGCAGAUGUCAGGAGGAACACCGAUGGCGAAGGCAGGUCUCUGGGCCACUACUGACGCUGAGAAGCGAAAGCAUGGGGAGCGAACAGG